ACUGUUUGAAGCACCUUUAGUGUAUUGUCACAAAUGUUUGGAUCUGUAUAUGUAUUUGUUGUCCUGUAUAUCCUCAGGAGCUAGAAAAUAUGUACAUGGCUCUGAAGAAUAGUUGUGAGGAGAUGAGGAAAGAGGUGGUUCAGUUUAGACGGGAAAUGAAGCCUUUAACUGAGAGCAUGGAGACUCCACAGAAACAUAAAGAAAGAACAGGAGUUGGAGAAUUUAAAAGAUCUCAUUGAAAGAAAUGAGGUAAGCAAGACCACUAAGCUGUAAUCACUGAGAAGUAUCUGUCCUGUGAACUUUGAGAAGUGGAUUUGACAUGUUUGCAAAGUCUUUGACCAGGCUGAGCUGGCUCAGGUGCUUCUCAUACCUGUUUAACUUGGAAAGGAGAUCGACUGGAAUUGAAUCAAGAAAUUAAAAAGUCUUGUUCCUGAAUAGUUUCACAAGCAAAAGAAGGAUUUGACUGACUAUCCCUUUGUAUUUGUUUGCAUAUCAUAAGGAGCUGGAGAAGCAGGUUGUAGUAAUAGAGCAACAUCGUAUAGAGAACAUGGAGCAUUAGCAGAGGAUGGAGGCAAAGUGUGAAGAGGUGAAGGAGGCCAAAAGAGUGGUGGUACGAGAACUGGAAGGCCACAAGUCUCAGCUGGUGGCUGCAGAGAACACACAAGAGACUCCUCAAGAAAAAGAGGCCAUCUUCAUGAAUCAAAGAGGUCUGCUGGACAUCAACAUGGAGCAGAUUGUUGCUGAGUGUAAGUCUCUGAGUGAUAAACUGGCUCGAGAUACACGGCUGAAAGACAAGCUUGUGCAAGCCCUGAAGAGAAAUGAACUCCAGCUAAAACAGGCCAGAGACUCUUUUGCUAACACUCAACAGCAACAUAUAAAGACCCAGUCUAAGGUAACUCGAAACACAUCUAGUUCCUUAUAAUGAUAAUGAUAAUAAUACAUAAUUAUAUCAAUAAUCAUACUUUAAGAGUGUUUUCAGGAUUUUCCAUGAUUUGGCAACACAAGAAUGACGUUUAGUGGAAAUGACUGCAGACGCUAAUGACGUCCAACAUUUCAGAACUGCCGUGAAGCCAUUUCUUUCUCAUAGAGACUCAGUCCCAGAUGGUAACUGCUUGUUGCAGAGAAGAAGAGAUCUGGAAAAGCUAAAACGCAGUUUGAUUAGCAAGGCUGGGUGUGUUUGCUAAACUGUAUGAAGUCACCAAGGGCCAGCGGAGCAAAUACCUGAGCCUGAUCCACAUCUCAAACCAGAACCUGGCAGAGGUGCAAGAGAAGCUGGCCAAACUGGAAGAAAAUUUUAAGACACUGCCAUCGAUUGCUAUCAACAAAGACAAGCACUGUUGCUGCAAAAGUCCAGUCUACAACACUCUCACAGCUACAAACUCGAGAGACCAUAUGAAGAACGAGAUCUCAAGGGUGUUACAGGUUCUGCAAGAAAUGCACCAGAAACUGGAGGAGCAGAAAUUUAACCUCGGCAAACUCAUGGUCAACAUGCUGGAGCAAAAAAAGCUGCAUAUGUGCAAGAGCUACAAGGCUGCCAUGCAAGAACACAUCCAGCGGUGGGAGAGUUAUAAGAGCUGUCAGGCAAACAAGCUGGAGGCACAGAUCAGGGAGUGCACUCGUAAAAUGAUGGCGGUGGUAGCAGAGCUGUCCAUGUGACAGGCAGAGAGAGAGUAUGACCCUACAGCAGGAAAUGACAGACAAGCAACCACAGCUGGACUUGUGUCAGAGGAAAGUAGCUCAGAGAGCAUAACAUGUUUUCGAAAUCAGCACAGAUGCCAGGCAUUCGCAGAGAGAGAGAAAAAAGGCAAGCUGGCUGAGGGAGAUAAGUGGAACCAGCUUCCAAACGGUGUUUAUACCACGGCUGAGCUUCGACCCAAUGCUUACAUCCACAUUGAUGAUCCUUUGCCAGAGCCCAAACCAAAAUACAAACCCAGUGAGUCUGCAAACUCAUGAUGCAUCCAAAAACAAAAAUAAAAGCCCAGAUGUGCUCCCAUUUCUGAGGAAUCUUGUCCAUUUCCUCAGAACUAGUGAUGCUAACAUAAGACUUCUUUGUCAUUUGGGUCUAAUUUCUGCUUAGCAGUCCAGUGAAGCUCCUGCUGGUGGAAUGCUGGGAAUUCAGACCAAUUCUUUAGAGAUCUACACAUGAUGCUAUGCCGUCUGGACUCACAGCUGAAUCAUACAGAGAAAUUAAUUACAGAACUAAAUGGGACAUUAUAUGGAAUAGUUUUUUCAUUUGAUACUACAAAGAUUAUUAGGAAAGAUU